rnacentral:rRNA from 1 species
CACCUGCCGUCUACUCUUGGACAGCCUUCUGAAAGGAAGAUUAAUACAAGAUGGCAUCAUGAGUUCACAUGUUCACAUGAUUAAAGGUAUUCCGGUAGACGAUGGGGAUGCGUUCCAUUAGAUAGUAGGCGGGGUAACGGCCCACCUAGUCUUCGAUGGAUAGGGGUUCUGAGAGGAAGGUCCCCCACAUUGGAACUGAGACACGGUCCAA